GUUAUUUGGCUGGAGUGAGGUCUCAUGUCUGCUUAUGCGGUGGCUCGCUGCUCAGAACAGGCCUAGCUAGAUGCCUGGAAUUUCCCUUGAAGGAAGUCAAGAUUUUCCUUUAUCUCCAUACUGGCUGAUGGUGAUCGAGUAAGCCCCUAAGAGGGGUCCCUGCUCCAUCUCGAGAUGCUGCUAGAUUCUACAGUGCCUAAUAAACAGCUCUCGCCUGGCCGACAAAGAGCUGCUUGCUCUCUGGAUAGCAAUUCCAAAGUGAACAGACAACAUCCUGUUUGGAAGACUGCCACUCUGUUAGAAGAAGCAUCAGGAAAACCUUUCUUUUGAGCUAUUUAUAACUAACAGCAAUUGACCAAGUAUACUUUUGUGAGUGAAACUGACCUUUCUCCCUGAACCAUUGGAGAUACUCAUUACUCUUUGAAGGCUUACAGUGGAAUGAAUUCAAAUACGACUUAUUUGAGGAAUUGAAGUUGACUUUAUGGAGCUGAUAAGAAUCUUCUUGGAGAAAAAAAGACUGGUACUUCUGAAUUAACCAAAAUCACAGUAUUCUGAAGAUGAUUCUACAAAGCCUGCUGUUUCUACAAAGGCUGCUGAUGAUUUCUACAAAGCCUGCUGUAGUGUUGCUGUGGCCUCUGCUUAAAAAAGUAGAAAACACAUUGAUGCAGCAUGUUCACCCCAACCUCCCUGCCUAAAGGCUCAGGGACCAUC
rnacentral:lncRNA from 10 species